CAAAGCGUAGCUUAACCAAAGCAUCUGACUUACACUCAGAAGAUUUCACACUACCUGUGACCACUUUGA
rnacentral:tRNA from 1 species